UGGGGAAUAUUGCACAAUGGAGGGAACUCUGAUGCAGCGACGCCGCGUGAACGAAGAAGGCUUUCGCGUCGUAAAGUUCUUUUAUAUGGGAAGAUAAUGACGGUACCAUAAGAAAAAGCCCCGGCUAACUACGUGCCAGCAGCCGCGGUAAUACGUAGGGGGCUAGCGUUGUCCGGAAUCACUGGGCGUAAAGGGUUCGCAGGCGGAAAUGCAAGUCAGGUGUAAAAGGCAGUAGCUUAACUACUGUAAGCAUUUGAAACUGUAUAUCUUGAGAAGAGUAGAGGUAAGUGGAAUUUUUAGUGUAGCGGUGAAAUGCGUAGAUAUUAAAAAGAAUACCGGUGGCGAAGGCGACUUACUGGGCUCAUUCUGACGCUGAGGAACGAAAGCGUGGGUAGCAAACAGG
rnacentral:rRNA from 1 species